rnacentral:rRNA from 1 species
CAAACUUGGUCAUUUAGAGGAAGUAAAAGUCGUAACAAGGUCUCCGUUGGUGAACCAGCGGAGGGAUCAUUACAAGAAGCCGAAAGGCUACUUAAAACCAUCGCGAACUUAUCCAAGUUGCUUCGGCGGCGCGGCUCCCCUCACGGGGGACUGCAGCCCCGCCUCUCAGGAGGUAUGGGGCACCCGCCGGAGGUACGAAACUCUGUAUUAUAGUGGCAUCUCUGAGUAUAACACAAAUAAGUUAAAACUUUCAACAACGGAUCUCUUGGUUCUGGCAUCGAUAAAGAACGCAGCGAAAUGCGAUAAGUAAUGUGAAUUGCAGAAUUCAGUGAAUCAUCGAAUCUUUGAACGCACAUUGCGCCCGCUAGUACUCUAGCGGGCAUGCCUGUUCGAGCGUCAUUUCAACCCUCAAGCUCUGCUUGGUGUUGGGGCUCUACGUCUGACGUAGGCCCUGAAAGGAAGUGGCGGGCUCGCUACAACUCCGAGCGUAGUAAUUCAUUAUCUCGCUAGGGAAGUGUGGCGUGCUCCUGCCGUUAAAGACCCCAUCUUUAACCAAGGUUGACCUCGGAUCAGGUAGGAAUACCCGCUGAACUUAAGCAUAUCAAUAAGCGGAGG